AGACCACGCACAUGGACCUCAGCUCCAGGCUGGUUUGACUCCUCCUGAAGUUACUGACACUGAAGGUGCUGAAAGUUUCACAGACCUGCACUGGAAAGGCACAGCUUGUUCCCCGUGUCUCCUCGUCUUUGCCGUGAUGGUGGUCUGACAUGAACAGCUGUGCUCCCAAAUCCCUUGGCAGCUGUGGGAUACAGCAGCAGCCCGGGCUGCACCAUCCAGACCGAGGGAAGACACCACCACCAGGGCUCACCCAGGUGGCUGAAACAUCAUUCUGGGAACACAAGAGCAUAAGUAUUCCGACCGAUCCCGCCGUGCUGUUCAAUUGAAUGGCUCAAAACUAAACAAAAGGCAAAAUCCAGAAUGAAAAUCAUAACCAUGUACUUUAAAAGUUGGGGGGGGAAAAUUACUCAGGGCAAUGUAUCAAAAAUACAUGCUGAUACGUAACUGUAUUUAACAUCCUAUUUGAGAAGCUGAGGAGACAAGACUUACAUUUCUCUGGGAGCUCCAUCCCUCUGAGCAUUUCCCCUUCCUCUGCCCACUCCUCACC